UUAACAGCACUGAACUUUAUCUAUAAAAUAUGUGCAGCAUGGGCAGCAGCAGCAGAGAAAGGCUCCCCAAAUUGCCCUGCCAGAAUGCCUCAACUCUGACCUGGUGCAACAGGCUUAGGGUAAUUCAGUGUUCAUCCCCAUUAUAUUCUUUGCCUUU
rnacentral:sRNA from 1 species